AAUAUUGGAUAAUGGGGGUAAUCCUAUCCUAGCCAGCCUGCCCCGCUGAGGAAGGUCUUCGGCUGGUAAAGACCUCUAUGUCGGCGGGAAGGGUUUAGGACUAUUCCUCUGAACUCUGAUCGUAACAACCAGAUUAAGCACCGGCGAGCACCGUGCUGGCACCCGCGGUAAUACAGAGGGUGCAACCGUUAAGCGGAAUUACUGGGCGUAAAGCGCGCGUAGGUGGUUCAGUAAGAUGGGUGUGAAAUCCCCGGGCUUAACCUGGGAACUGCUUUCAUAACUGCUGAGCUAGAGUACGGUAGAGGGUAGUGGAAUUUCCUGUGUAGCGGUGAAAUGCGUAGAUAUAGGAAGGAACACCAGUGGCGAAGGCGACUAACUGGACUGAUACUGACACUGAGGUGCGAAAGCGUGGGGAGCAAAC
rnacentral:rRNA from 1 species